rnacentral:tRNA from 1 species
GGAGAGAUGGCCGAGCUGGCUUAAGGCGAUAGACUGCUAAUCUGUUGAGUGGGUUUUACCUGCUCCGAGGGUUCGAAUCCCUCUCUCUCCGCCA